UACGUAGGGGGCAAGCGUUGUCCGGAAUUAUUGGGCGUAAAGGGCGCGUAGGCGGUGCGGUAAGUCUGCGGUGAAAUCUCCCGGCUCAACUGGGAGUCUGCCGUGGAAACUGCCGUGCUUGAGUGUGGGAGAGGUGAGUGGAAUUCCCGGUGUAGCGGUGAAAUUCGUAGAUAUCGGGAGGAACACCGGUGGCGAAGGCGGCGACCUGGGUGGAUACUGACGCUGAGGUGCGAAAGCGUGGGGAGCAAACAGG
rnacentral:rRNA from 1 species